UGUGGAAUAUUGGUCAAUGGGCGCAAGCCCGAUCCAGCAAUGCCGCGUGAGUGAUGAAGGCCUUAGGGUUGUAAAGCUCUUUUACCCGGGAUGAUAAUGACAGUACCGGGAGAAUAAGCUCCGGCUAACUUCGUGCCAGCAGCCGCGGUAAUACGAGGGGAGCUAGCGUUGUUCGGAAUUACUGGGCGUAAAGCGCGCGUAGGCGGUUUUUUAAGUCAGAGGUGAAAGCCCGGGGCUCAACCCCGGAAUAGCCUUUGAAACUGGAAAACUAGAAUCUUGGAGAGGUCAGUGGAAUUCCGAGUGUAGAGGUGAAAUUCGUAGAUAUUCGGAAGAACACCAGUGGCGAAGGCGACUGACUGGACAAGUAUUGACGCUGAGGUGCGAAAGCGUGGGGAGCAAACA
rnacentral:rRNA from 1 species